ensembl:lncRNA
GAUUCUCCAGGCAAGAAUACUGGAGCGGGUGGCCCUGCCCUCCUCCAGGGGAUCUUCCAGACCCAGGGAUCGAAGCCGCGUCUCUUGCACUGCAGGCGGAUUCUUACUGUCUGAGCCAUUACAAAGGCUCCACUCUGUUCUGGGAUGUGGGCAAAUCUGAGAGCUCUGAUUAAGAUUAGAAAAAGGGCACAAGUGAAAUGACGAGGUGAACCUUUUUUUUUUUUUCCUGCGAAGUGACAGAGUUGAGCACCCAUGCUCCGCAGCAAGAGAAGCCCCCGCAAUGAGAAGCCCGGGCACCGCAAUGAAGAGUAGCCCCUGCUCUCCGCAACUAGAGAAAAGCCUGCGCACCCGUGAACAAAAAAUAUAAAUGAGCAAAAUUAAUUUUAAAAAUUCUUAAAAAAAUAAACUUGCACACGCAAAGAAAAAUAAAACGUAAAAGGAUGCUGAAAUAAACGUGAUUGCAACUUUCAUAUUCAUUUCUUUCUCUUCUGCUGCUGUUCUCCAUCUUUUCUCCGUUUCCCCUCUCUUUCUCACACAUUCACAUCUGGCCUCUGCAGUCACAGAUAGACAUCACCUAUUCUUCCCUGUCUCUUCCUACCCAGCAUGCUAGAGCUGGUUUGUGCAGGUUUUGCGAAAGCCAAUUGUUAAAUAUUUAGGAAAUUUUCGAGCUGGUUGUGAAAAUGAUUGGUAGCUUAAAACCAGACAGGAUACGAGGAUGUACAUCACAGAAAUAGGCUGAUGUUAUGAUGUUGUUUUUCUGAAAAGCUGAUCUCCUAGCACACCGCUCUUCUAUUUCUGGCAAAGACACUUUGCUUUGCCAAGGAAUAUCCUCAUUCUCUGAUAGAUACCCAGUCUCCACCACCACCUGUCCACCCCCGCCAUUCCUCACCUCCCUCCUGGGUGGCGGGAAAGCAGAAGUUCUAGGACCGGGUUGUGCUGAGAGUGGAGAGAACAGAGGAAGAAGAGGAAGCGUGAAGGAAGUUCAUGAAAAAGAGAAUAAAAAGGACAGCAGUAUAGGAAGGUGGCGCUAGUGGUAAGGAAACCGGCUGUCGGUACGGGAGACGUAAGAGACACGGGUUCGAUCCCUGGGUGGGGAAGAUCCCCUGGAGGAGGGCAUGGCAACCCACUCCAGUAUUCUUGCCUGGAGAAUCCCAUGGACAGAGGAGCCUGGCGGCCUACAGUCCAUGGGGUCACAAAGGGUCAGACACGACUGAGCGACUAACACGCACACAGGAAGGAAAGAGAAGGACAAGAGAAGCAGGAAUCCAUGGGGGGCAAGGGUUCAGGUAGGGAGAGCAUACGGAC